AGCUAAAGUUAAUCAAUUUUUAUGAACUGGAUCAAAAGGGUUCACUAGUUAGUGUUAUGUAACCGAGACAUGAGGAGAAAAUGUUUAGGACAUACAGUUGAACUCAUGAGGAGCACAUUUUUGUACAGCCAUGGUAGAAAUAAGGAAUUGUCUGAGCUGACCUUGUGACUGGCACCAUCCCCCAUCCCUCUCUCUGAACAUUUUUAUGUGUUCUUGACUUUCAGGGUCCGAAGUUGAUUUCAAGAACUCGUGCUGCUUUGGGAGUCUAAACUCCUUCAGGGAAGAGAGGCCCAAAUGAGUUGAUGGUGAGAGCUUUCUGGCCUCCUUGUCUCUGACACUAUUUUAACGACAUGGUGAAGAACUUCAUGUGAGACUUCCCUCCCUAAGAAAUAAAGACUUCCUAACUGGU